rnacentral:rRNA from 1 species
UGGGGAAUAUUGCACAAUGGGCGCAAGCCUGAUGCAGCCAUGCCGCGUGUAUGAAGAAGGCCUUCGGGUUGUAAAGUACUUUCAGCGGGGAGGAAGGGAGUAAAGUUAAUACCUUUGCUCAUUGACGUUACCGACAGAAGAAGCACCGGCUAACUCCGUGCCAGCAGCCGCGGUAAUACGGAGGGUGCAAGCGUUAAGCGGAAUUACUGGGCGUAAAGCGCACGCAGGCGGUUGAUUGAGUCAGAUGUGAAAUCCCCGGGCUUAACCCGGGAAUUGCAUCUGAUACUGGUCAGCUAGAGUCUUGUAGAGGGGGGUAGAAUUCCAUGUGUAGCGGUGAAAUGCGUAGAGAUGUGGAGGAAUACCGGUGGCGAAGGCGGCCCCCUGGACAAAGACUGACGCUCAGGUGCGAAAGCGUGGGGAGCAAACAGG